rnacentral:rRNA from 1 species
UAGGGAAUCUUCGGCAAUGGACGAAAGUCUGACCGAGCAACGCUGCGUGAGUGAAGAAGGUUUUCGGAUCGUAAAACUCUGUUGUUAGAGAAGAACAAGGACGUUAGUAACUGAACGUCCCCUGACGGUAUCUAACCAGAAAGCCACGGCUAACUACGUGCCAGCAGCCGCGGUAAUACGUAGGUGGCAAGCGUUGUCCGGAUUUAUUGGGCGUAAAGCGAGCGCAGGCGGUUUCUUAAGUCUGAUGUGAAAGCCCCCGGCUCAACCGGGGAGGGUCAUUGGAAACUGAGAUAUGUGAGUGCAGAAGAGGAGAGUGGAAUUCCAUGUGUAGCGGUGAAAUGCGUAGAUAUAUGGAGGAACACCAGUGGCGAAGGCGGCUCUCUGGUCUGUAACUGACGCUGAGGCUCGAAAGCGUGGGGAGCAAACAGG